AAUUAACUUUAUAGGGUGAGAAUUUAUAUAUUUAUAUCCAUUAGACCAGUUACUGGUGUAUUUUGAAAUAGACUUUGUUUAUCUUUGAAUGCAAAACGAUGUUGAUUUCCACAGUAUUCUUCAGUGACACGUACAGGUGUUAAUACCGAAUGACCUUCACCCUGCAGAAAUUGUUCGUGUAUCACAUGUAGUUCUCCACAAACAUGACAAAAUGGUGAUUUCAUUAGAUUUUUCAGCUCAACAUUAAUGGGUAAAAUACAAAAGAAUAAAUUACAGAAUGAAAUAAAUAGAAAUGCUUUAACUAUUACCGGUAGUUAGGAAGUAGCAGUAAAAAAAAAUGUGUACAUUUACAGAAAUUUCAUACAAAUAAUAGCCCCCAAGAUGCACAAAAUACAGGUGCUUAUCAUUUAUAAUUAUUCACAUACUAAGCAUUUAUGGAUUGUAUACAUGUUAUAAUUUACAUGAUGGUCCAUAUAUACAUGUAUUUCGAUGUUUGUAUCACUCUCUUGUGUCAGUUACAUUAAUAAAGAUUUUAGUUGAAAUCCAACACGUAAGAAAAUUAUGAAUAAUUAAAAAAAAAUAAGGGGGCCUAAUCAAUUUGAGAGUUAUUAGUUAUGUAAACAAACACAAAAUAGUAAUGGCGUUCAAGAUGGCGGUUCAAUUAUUUGCCCAAAAUAGCCACGCUAAAUUUCAAGGAUUUCAUCGCAAUCGGCUUUCAGUUUAAGUUGGGGCUUCAUUAAAUAAUUGUUAAAUGUUCAUUGUUAUAAUUAUUAAUUGUUUACACGAAAUAUUUUAUGAAUAAUUUAAUAAAAUCACGUGACUCCAGCGAAGUCUACGAUUGGUCAGUGGAUAGCGCGGACAUUACAGAGACGAUUUGAAAAUUGGCCGAGAUGAAAACCUCAAAAAGAAAUCGGAGAAUUAUAGGUCGCAAAAUUCUUGUCCCCUGUAGUCAUUCUAAACUUGGGGGAAAUGCAUAAAGACUAUAACUCUGUCAAAUUGAAGGGAAUGGCAUGAAAGAAGAAAGAAGGAAUUGCGUGGUACAUUCAAAUGGAGGAUCAGUUUUUAUAAGGAGUCCAGAUGAAAAUCGCAACUGUACAGCAACGAGGAUUUACCCUGGUAAAGGGUCUAUUACUGUGCAGAAAUUCUGUGGUGCCAAUUGGGUAGGAACUCUAUGAAAGUAAUGAAGAUUACAUAAAUUGCACAUGCAGCAAGUGAAUAAUGUGUGGCCAAAAAAGGACAUGACAUGGAGUAUACUUUCAGUACCUUUACGGUGUCUUUGUGUAUUUAAAUUACAUUAAUUAUGUUUUGUAUAUGCUGAAAAGGUGUGUUUAUUUUUUUCUUGCAAAGAAUGAUAUUAAAUAUCAUUAUUUUGUUAAAGGUAACAAUAUUAAUUUUUUUUUUAAUAUAGGAGAUUUGUCAUAUAUAGAUUCUGUUUAUCAAUAGGAUUUAAAAGAGAUAUUUUUCAUAUAUAUUUUCAUGUAGCAUCAUAUAAUAAAUUUUUACUUGUACCUGAUAAUUAGUGUUAAAUUCUUCCUUAAUAUAGUCCUGCCCCAUUCACAAGGAAUGAUAAGUAUGUAUUUUUCAUGUAAGGCCAAAAAUUUAAAAACAUUUGAUGGAGAAAGAAAUUUUUAACUGGGUUUUGUGGUUGAUUUGUCGACAAAAGCCCAUUUUUUGAUAUGCCUUAAAUGUACCUUUUUGUAUAGUUAUGCGGUGUGCCAAUAUUGUGCUUUUUUAGUACCUAAAAUGUGCCUAUUAAAGCUUUUGGUACAAUAUAGGUACCUUGUAGGUAUACUUUUGGUAUACCUCUGGCAUACUUUUGGCACAGCCUUGAAGGUACCUAAUAGAUUGAUAUGUAGGCACUUUUUAGGUAUGCCUGGAAUGUACCUACUGGUCUAGUUAGAUGAUGUGCCAAUAUUGUGCUUUUUUAGUACCUUAAAUGUGCCUAUUAAUGCCUUUGGUACAAUAUAGGUACCUUGUAGGUAUACUUUUGGUAUACCUCUGGCAUACUUUUGGCACAGCCUUGAAGGUACCUAAUAGAUUGAUAUGUAGGCACCUUUUAGGUAUGCCUGGAAUGUACCUACUGGUCUAGUUAGAUGAUGUGCCAAUAUUGUGCUUUUUUUAGUACCUAAAAUGUGCCUAUUAAUGCUUUUGGUACAAUAUAGGUACCUUGUAGGUAUACUUUUGGUAUACCUCUGGCAUACUUUUGGCACAGCCUUGAAGGUACCUAAUAGAUUGAUAUGUAGGCACCUUUUAGGUAUACCUAAAAUGUACAUAUCUGACUGUUAGAAUUAUAUGCCAUACUAUGUAUAGGCAUACUUUAGGUAUGCCUCACUGCUCAAUCUAAUGUUUUAUGUGUGCCUAAAAUGUACCUAUAUGUGAAAUAGAAAAAAUGAAUCAUUGAAAAGUAUACCUUUAGUAUGCCUUUUUUGUACCAAUUUGCUACCUAUACUUGAAGAAGUGGUUCCAAACUUGUAUACUUAAAGUAUACCUUUUUUGUGCCUAUAUUUAUCAAGAAUAGGCAUGCCUAAUCUGUACCUUUUUUUGGUAU